GUAGUAGAAUAUUAGUUGGCAACCCGUAUCAAGUGUGACUUUAGUAGUACAAUAUAAGUGUAACCCGUACCAAGUGGGCAAUUUUUACAUGUAUUUAGUGAAAAUGUUACGAUUGGUUACUUGUAGAUUUAUACAAUACGUCUGACACAGCCUGAGUACACGGAUGCUGUAGUAGAUUUUGAAGCAGAAAAGACAAUUAGAAUAGCUGCGGUGUCGUCGAAGAUCCUGCUGGCUCAUUCAAUACUGUCUUCUGCUUCCACAUCCUUAAAAGAGAAUUGAAACAAUAAAAUAAAAAAUUAAUUAAAAAACCAAAUAAAAUUAUAAUUUUUAUGUUACCUAUACUCUAUUGCGUGAUUUCUUGGAAAUUGACUGCCUUGUUACCAAUCAAUAUUUCUUCCACAUCUUUGUAGUGGACCCAAGGAGAAAGAGAACCACCAGUUAUACCCACCGUCUUCUUUUCUAAUCUAUAAAAUAAAAUACAUUUUAUAAUGGUACUCGCAGCAAAAUAAAUCUUUUUUAUUUUUA